AAGAAAGUAAUUUAAUAAAAAAUAUUUUGCUUCAAACUUAAAUAUGAGCACACACAGCUUCUUUCUUG
rnacentral:tRNA from 1 species